rnacentral:lncRNA from 1 species
AUAAUUAUUGGCCAUAUGUUAUGUGAGUUUAGAUGAUUUAUUCUUUGCAUUCGAAAGAAGGGGAAUAUAUUCGAUAUAAUAUAAAUUAACAUAGGGUUCGAUAAGGGAUAGAAAUAUACCCCUAUACUUUGUGCAAUUCAUAAGGUGUUCAUAAAAAUUCAUGCAUUCUUGUAUAUUUGCAUCAUCCAUAGAAAUAUAGGCUGGUAGUGUGCAAGAGUAG